GCUUGACCUCGAAUCAGGUGGGGAUACCCGCUGAACUU
rnacentral:rRNA from 1 species